GUCCUCGAUGGCUCAAUGGGAUAGAGCAUCUACCUUGUAAGCAGGAGAUCCCGGGUUCGAGUCCCAGUCGGGACG